GGCUUCAUAGCUCAGUUGGUUAGAGCGUCGCAAAGGUAUCGCGAGGUCACGGGUUCAAACCCCGUUGAAGUCC
rnacentral:tRNA from 1 species